GCGGGGCUGAGCCAAGCGGGGCUGAGCCAAGCGUGGGGCCGCGCCGCCCCGGCCUCUCUUUGUUGUUUCGGCCGCCGCCGAGCCUCCUGGUCGGCGACAGCAGCGGCGGGCCGGCGGAAUGUCCCAGGAGAACCUCCUCAGCAUGGAUGAGGGAGCGCUGCGGAAGCUGCUGGAGGCAACGCUGGACCUGGCUGAGCGGCGCCGUAUCCGCUCGGCCAUCCGGGAGCUGCAGCGGCAGGAGCUGGACGAGGAGGCACUGGCAUCCAAGCGCUUCCGCACAGAGCGUGGCAGCCACCGGCAGGACGACAAGGAGAACUGGCCACGAUCUCAGCGCCUGGAGGAGGAGCAGCAGACAGCCCUGGCCGCCUUGUCCCAGCAGCUUGAAGCCAUCACUGAUGUGGAAGAGCUGACAAAACUGCUGCGGGCAGCAGGCGAGUAUGAGGAGCGCAAGAUUAUCCGAGCUGCCAUACGCAAACUGCGGGCUGAGGAGAUAGAAGCUGCAGUCCUGGCUGGAAACUUGCAGAGCAGCCGGAGGGAGAGCAGCGAGCCACCCACUGUACCUGGGGAUGCAAAAAGCAGCUGGAGGGACGAUGCUGAAACAAAGGACAGCCAGAGGGGCAAUAUCGAGCUGCCAGUCCUGGCUGGGAAUGAAGGAAGAUGUGGUGAGGGCAGAUCCGAGCCCCUGGCUGCAGCCAGGAGUGGGAAGAGCAGCCAGCAGGAUGAUGCAGAGCAAACAAAGCUGGCUGGGCCAGAGGAGAGUAGCCCCAGAGGGGGUACAGAGUGGCCCCUUGGAGAGGAGCCCAAAGGCUCAGUGGCCCAUGAGCAAGACAACGUGGUGGAGCAGGAUCACAUCCCAGAUGGGAUGCAGGAGCUACGCAGCCAGCAGGCAGGAGACCCAAAGAAAUCCAGCACCCAGGCUGCUGUCCCAGGGACCCUUGUGCUCCUGGAGCUGCAGCUGGCCUCAGAGCCUGGUCCAGAGCCUGAAGAUGGUGGCGAGGAGCUGGAGCAGGGCCAGCCAUGCUCCUCAGGCACUGUCCAGCCCAAGGAGCAGCCUCGGGCAGCCUGGAAGGCUGGGAGCUUGGGCAGCCCUGCUGCCUCCCGGGAGCCCAGGGUGGGGCAGAGCAACCGGGCGGAGCAGCAUGCCCUGGGCCAGCCCACCACUGGCAGCCAGCUCAGUGCUGGAGCACACAGGCAGGUGUUGGGGCUGGCCAAGAGGCGUGGGGAGCCGGCAGCAGUGACAGGGCCCACCCAGGAUGUAGUAGGGACCCUAGCUCGCCUGAACACUCACCGUUGGGAGCAAGCAUCCUCCUCCCUGUGUCCAGCUGGCAGCAUGGAGCCAAGCCCCGCCGUGCCGCUGCCGCGGGCUGCCUCCGUGCGGGAGCGCGUCCAGCGCUUCACCCCGGCGGGCUCGGGGCCGGCCCCUGGCGCGGGGGCGGGCGGUGCGGGGGGGCGGGCCGAGCCCGCCCAGUGGCAGCGGGGGCCCCGCAUGGCCCCGCCGGGGCCCGCUCAAAACGCACGGGGCAGCGGCAGCAGAGGCGCAGAGCAGCGCCCGGUCUUGGCCGGUCCCGGUCCUGGCCCCGACAGCAUGAAGACCUUCUUCACCAUUGAGAUCAAGGAUGGGCGCGUGCAGCCCCUCACGCCCCGUGUCGUGGCCACCCCUGGCAGCCAGCGGGCAGAGGUAACCCUAGGGCUGAGGAGCACGCCCAUCCGCAUCACCACUGUCCCCAGAAGCAGCAGCAGCAUCUGCAGCAUCAACAGCAUCAGCAGCAAUGUCACCAAGGAUCCUUGCGCCCACUUUGAGGGCACCGAGGAGCCCAGCAGCCCUGUGGCCCAUCCGCCUGCUUUCUCCAGCACGCGCCAGCAAUCGACCUUACACCUCUCCCGGAGCAACAGUGGCAUGGAGCCAGAGGUGGUGGAGCAGCAGGCACCAAGGCUGGAGCCUGAGCUGCCCAAUGGCAUGGAGAAGGUUCAAGUCAGGGAGCUGGAGAGAAGGAGCAAGCUGAAUGUCGAAGAGCUGAACAGGAUCGAGGAUGAGGAUGUUCUGGAUAAGAUGCUGGAUCGGACAACAGACUUUGAGGAGCGGCGACUGAUCCGAAAUGCCAUGCGGGAGCUGCGCCAGCGCAAGCGAGACCGGCGGGAGAAGGAGCAGGACCAGCGGCUGCAGGAGAUGAGGAGUCAGGCUUCAGCAGGAAGGACCAGCCACGACACGGAGACCACCACCACGCAGAGCACCCAGUCAGCAGACGGCUCAGCACGCAGCACCGUCACAAAGACUGAGCGCCUUGUCCAGUCUAGUGAUGGCACCAAGACCUCCUGUACCACAACCAUGGAGUCAAGUUACAUGAAGAGAUCAGACAAUGGCAACAGCACGUUUGUUCAAACAAAAUCAUCUUACAGCUCCUCAUCCAAGAAGACAGGCAGCAUCUUUGACCGUGAAGACGAGAGUGCCACCAGGCAGAGCAGCCUUGCUGCGCUGGAGCGGCGCCAGGCAGAGAAGAAGAAGGAGUUGAUGAAAGCUCAGAGCCUGCCCAAGACAUCAGCCUCGCAGGCUCGCAAGGCCAUGAUGGAGAAGCUGCAGAAGGAGGGUGGGAGCUCACCAAGCCCCGCGGUGGCGCGCACCGCCGUGCAGCGCUCCUCCAGCUUUGGCGUGCCCAAUGCCAACAGCGUCAAGCAGAUGUUGCUGGACUGGUGCAGAGCCAAGACCCGGGGCUACGAGCAUGUGGACAUCCAGAACUUCUCAUCCAGCUGGAGUGAUGGCAUGGCCUUCUGUGCCUUGGUCCACAACUUCUUCCCCGAUGCAUUUGACUACAGCCAGCUGACACCUCAGAACCGCCGCCAUAACUUUGAGGUGGCCUUCUCCUCCGCAGAGAAGCACACAGACUGUCCGCAGUUGCUGGACGUGGAGGACAUGGUCCGGAUGCGCGAGCCAGAUUGGAAGUGUGUGUACACAUACAUUCAGGAAUUCUAUCGCUGCCUGGUCCAGAAGGGGCUGGUAAAAACCAAAAAGUCGUAGCCCAUUUUCACCCCCCUGGGAGCGAUGGACUCCCAAAUCACAAUGAGGGGCCACUGCCAGAUCAGCCAUGGGCUUGGCCUGAUUGCCUCCACAGCUACAUUGGCUCCAGCACAGGCAGCAGAGGCCCCCAGGGGAGAUGUGGGGCUGGAGGGCACAGGAGCGGAGCCCUGGGCCAGAUGACUCUUCUGGGCCCCGCUGCUCCCCAGGGACGCUGGUGGACUGUGUGCCGCUGGUGGAGGUGGAAGACAUGAUGAUCAUGGGGAAGAAGCCGGACGCCAAGUGCGUCUUCACCUACGUGCAGUCCCUCUACAACCACCUGCGUCGUCACGAGUUGCGCAUGCGACAGAAAGAGUGCUAGUGCCUGCCCUGCCUGCUCCCCUGCUGCCCUCUGCUCUCAGGGCUGCCAGCAGGCAGGAGAGCUGUCUGCCCCAGGAGGGUGCAGGGGGUGCUGCAGGGCCAGCACUGGGGACAGGGGGGCUCUGCCACCAUGGCACCCCAUGCCUCUGCCUUGCUGGAGCUCCCUCUGCCCCAGCCAGCUGCAGGCUGACCCUGUGGGCAAGGCCAGGUUCUGCUGCAGAUGCUCCCCAGCUUGGCUUGCCUCCUGUUCUGCAGUUAUUUGUUCUCCAGGAGCAAUUUGUCCCAUGGACAGCACUCCCAUGUCCUUGGGGAGGCCCGGGCAUGGCUGUGCUCUUGGGGCUGGCAUGGGUUGGCAGCUGAGCAGGGUCAUGCAGCCCAGCCUGGGUCAUGGUCAUGCCCUGGCAGUGCACCCCUGAGUGGCACCCCUUGGCCCCCUGUGAGGAAGCUCCUCUGCCUACUGCAGGUCCUGCUUGGUGCCACAUCCCUGGGGAUGGCCCCAUGCCCCGUGCUGACAUCCUGCUUCCCACCGCACACAUGCACUGUGGGGUGCUUCCACAGGAGGGGGGCUGCAGCCCUGUGUUGGGGGAUGGGCAGGAAGGCAAGGGGUCCCAGGGGAGCAAGGGGCCCCAAGGAGGGAGCUGGGACAGCAGCCCCCGCUCCUCCCCAGCCCAGCUUGGGGCACCGUGUGCUCAGCGCUGCUCACCCCUCUGUCACCGUCCGUACACGCAUGUUGACACGUGUACCAACACCAGCCAGACAAUAAAGGCUUAUUCUACAGGG